rnacentral:rRNA from 1 species
UCCCAUCCCGAACACAGAAGUUAAGCUCUUUAGCGCUGAAGAUACUUGGUGGGAAGCUGCCUGGGAAAUUAGGACGUCGCCGGUU